rnacentral:rRNA from 1 species
UACAGAGGUGGCAAGCGUUGUUCGGAAUUACUGGGCGUAAAGGGCGCGUAGGCGGCCUUCUAAGUCAGACGUGAAAUCCCCCGGCUUAACCUGGGAACUGCGUCUGAUACUGGGAGGCUUGAGUAUGGGAGAGGGAUGUAGAAUUCCAGGUGUAGCGGUGAAAUGCGUAGAUAUCUGGAGGAAUACCGGUGGCGAAGGCGGCAUCCUGGACUGGUCCUGACACUCAGGAGCGAAAGCGUGGGGAGCGAUCCGG